rnacentral:misc_RNA from 1 species
GAUGAAGAACGUAGCGAAAUGCGAUAAGUAAUGUGAAUUGCAGAAUUCAGUGAAUCAUCGAAUCUUUGAACGCACAUUGCGCCCGCCAGUAUUCUGGCGGGCAUGCCUGUUCGAGCGUCAUUUCAACCAUCAAGCCCCAGGCUUGUGUUGGGGACCUGCGGCUGCCGCAGGCCCUGAAAACCAGUGGCGGGCUCGCUGUCACACCGGGCGUAGUAGAUUUUAUCUCGCUCAGGGCGUGCUGCGGGUUCCGGCCGUUAAAAAGCCUUUUUUACCCAAGGUUGACCUCGGAUCAGGUAGGAAGACCCGCUGAACUUAAGCAUUCAAUAAGCGGAGGA